UACAGAGGGUGCAAGCGUUAAUCGGAAUUACUGGGCGUAAAGCGUACGUAGACGGUUGUGUAAGUCGGAUGUGAAAGCCCCGGGCUCAACCUGGGAAUUGCAUUCGAGACUGCGCAGCUAGGGUGCGGAAGAGGGAAGCGGAAUUCCCAGUGUAGCGGUGAAAUGCGUAGAUAUUGGGAGGAACACCAGUGGCGAAAGCGGCUUCCUGGUCCAGCACCGACGUUCAGGUACGAAAGCAUGGGGAGCAAACAGG
rnacentral:rRNA from 1 species